UGGGGAUAAUACUGGAUAUUAGGCUAUGCCUGGAAUGGUUUGCCUUUGAAAUGUUUUUUUUCGCCUAAGGAUAGGUCUGCGGCUGAUUAGGUCGUUGGUGGGGUAAUGGCCCACCAAGCCGAUGAUCGGUACGGGUUGUGAGAGCAAGGGCCCGGAGAUGGAACCUGAGACAAGGUUCCAGACCCUACGGGGUGCAGCAGGCGCGAAACCUCCGCAAUGUACGAAAGUGCGACGGGGGGAUCCCAAGUGUUAUGCUUUU
rnacentral:rRNA from 1 species